rnacentral:tRNA from 1 species
GGGAAUGUGACUUAGUGGUUGAGUGCUUGCCUGGCAUGCAGGAAACCCUGGGUUCAAUUCCUCAGUACCA